AUGCUCAAAAUUGAUCUUGCAAAAGCUUUUGAUCGUCUAGAAUGGAGCUUUAUUAUGGGUGCGCUCGUUCGUAUAAGGCUUCCUAGUCAUUUUAUUAAGUUGAUUCAUGAAUGCAUCUCUACUCCAAUUUUUUCGAUUAUCAUUAAUGGUCAAUCAUAUGCAAGGUUCAGAAGCUCUAGAGGUAUAAGAUAGGGAUGCCCUCUAUCCCCUUAUCUUUUUGUCCUUGCUAUAAAUGAACUCUCCAUCUCUUUACAGGAAGCCAUGUCCUUUAAUCAGCUAUCGGGCAUUUCCCUUGGUCCAAAUUGCCCUCCUAUCCAUUCUCUUAUGUUUGCAGACGACCUUCUUGUUUGCGGGCAAGCUACAUAUCAAGAAGCACUCCAUAUUCGUAAUAUUAUUCAAACUUUUUGCCACAAAUCAGGUCAGAUGCCUAACUGGAAUAAAUCGUCCAUUAUCUUUAGUAGAAAUGUCCAACCCAAUCUGAAGGAGGCUAUAAAAACAUUUUCCCUGUUCCUGAUAUUGAUGAAAACUCCAUCCAUUUGGGGCAUCCUUUGA
rnacentral:rRNA from 1 species